UGAUAGUUAAGUUCACUUAGGAAUAGAAUUACAUUGAUCUCACUUUAAUCUGAAUAAUUUUUUUUUACGAUUAACUUAAUUUUCUACUGUUUUUGUUGAGUCAAUUAUAUAUUCUUCCUCUCUUUUAUAAGAGACAUGGGGGAGAGUAAAUGUUUGGCCAAUAUAUUUAUAAUCAAUAGUUUUUUUUCUUCACCUCUUUCUUGCUUGUUUGCCUAGUAUAUACUGGUUAUAAUCACUUCCAAAAAUUAUUCUCUAAAUGGGGAAAGGGAAAGAGCAUGCUGAGCACAAGUAUGAAGUUACAGAAAUAAUGGUGUAUAUUUGUAUAAAAUGGGAUUGGACAACACUUUGGACACUUGCAAGCUUGAAGAUUUAUGAAAAUACUUUUGAAUGAUGGUUUUGUCUUUUGUUGGUGUAGUUGUUUACACUCAAGUUAGAGAUGUACAAUACAUUAUUUAUGUUUUAGUUUGGAAACUGAACUAGUGUAUUUCAUUCCAUGGUUAUAUGUUGAGUUGUAAGUGUUAAUUAAUAUAUGUGAAGUAAGGAAUAUGUUAUUUAUAUGCAAUGGAAUGAGGUGCUGCUUGGACAGCCCAAA